rnacentral:rRNA from 1 species
CAGCAGCCGCGGUAAUACGAAGGGUGCAAGCGUUAAUCGGAAUUACUGGGCGUAAAGCGUGCGUAGGCGGUUUGUUAAGUCUGCUGUGAAAUCCCCGGGCUCAACCUGGGAAUGGCAAUGGAUACUGGCAAGCUAGAGUGUGUCAGAGGAUGGUGGAAUUCCCGGUGUAGCGGUGAAAUGCGUAGAGAUCUGGAGGAAUACCGGUGGCGAAGGCGGCCCCCUGGACAAAGACUGACGCUCAGGUGCGAAAGCGUGGGGAGCAAACAGGAUUAGAUACCCCUGUAGUCCCUGUCUCUUAUAC